CAACUGGGAUGAGAAAACAACGC
rnacentral:piRNA from 1 species